AUCCAGCUAACGAGUCCCAAAUAUGACGAAACGCGUGUCCUGGAU
rnacentral:hammerhead_ribozyme from 1 species